GACGAACGCUGGCGGCGUGCUUAACCCAUGCAAGUCGAACGGAAAGUCCCUGCUUUUGUGGGGUGCUCGAGUGGCGAACGUGUGAGUAACACGUGAGUAACCUGCCCUUGACUUUGGUAUUACUUCAGGAACCUGGGGCUAAUACCGGAUAGGAGUUCCUGCUGCAUGGUGGGGGUUGGAAAGUUUCGGCGGUUGGGGUUGGACUCGCGGCUGAUCAGCUUGUUGGUGGGGAAUUUGCUUACCAAGGCUUUGACGGGUAUCCGGCCCGCGAGGGUGACCGGGAACAUUGGGACUGAGAGAACGACCAGACUCCUACGGGAGGCAGCAGUGGGGAGUAUGGCACAAGGGGCGGAAGCCUGAUGCAGGAUCGCCGCGUGCGGGAUGACGGCAUUCGGGUGGAAAACCGCUUUCGCCUGUGACGAAGCGUGAGUGACGGUAAUGGGUGAAGAAGCACCGGCUAACUACGU
rnacentral:rRNA from 1 species